AGAGAGAGACAUGCGCGCAUAUCAAUAAGCGGAGGAAAAGAAACUAACAAGGAUUCCCCUAGUAACGGCGAGUGAAGCGGGAAGAGCUCAAAUUUGAAAUCUUAAAGGGUUUCCCUUUACGAAUUGUAGUUUAAAGAAGUGUUUUCUGUUGAGGUUUUGGUAAAAGUUCUUUGGAAUAGGACAUCAUAGAGGGUGAGAAUCCCGUAUUUGACCUUUACUUUCAACUUUGUGAUACACUUUCAAAGAGUCGGAUUGUUUGGGAAUGCAGUCCAAAAUGGGUGGUAAAUUUCAUCUAAAGCUAAAUAUUGGCGAGAGACCGAUAGCGAACAAGUACCGUGAGGGAAAGAUGAAAAGAACUUUGAAAAGAGAGUUAAACAGUACGUGAAAUUGUCGAAAGGGAAGCGUUUGACACCAGUGUUGUUUUUCUGAAAAUCAAUUAAAGAACUGUUUAUGCUAAGUUGUUUAGACUUUAUCAGCUAACUGUUUAGUUUUGAGCUUUUCUUUAAUGCACUUUUCAGUUAACAAGUCAACAUCAAUUUCUUUUGCUGUAAAAAAGCUUGAGGAAGGUGGCUUGAGAUUCGUCUUAAGUGUUUAUAGCCUCUUGCCUAUGCAGUCGGAGGGAUUGAGGUCUGCAGCGUAGAUCCUUCGGGGUUAAAUGCAUUUGUGCUAAGUUAUAGCCUUUCUAUAGACAACUUGUUGACUAUGAUCUGUCUUGUAGCUUACUCGCUUAUGCUUAUUUUACCUACGCUUAGGAUGUUGAGCGCAUGUCUCUCUCU
rnacentral:rRNA from 1 species